rnacentral:rRNA from 1 species
UACAGAGGGGGCAAGCGUUGUUUCGGAAUUACUGGGCGUAAAGGGCGCGUAGGCGGCCCGCUAAGUCGAACGUGAAAUCCCUGGGCUCAACCCAGGAACUGCGUCCGAUACUGGCAGGCUUGAAUCCGGGAGAGGGAUGCAGAAUUCCAGGUGUAGCGGUGAAAUGCGUAGAUAUCUGGAGGAAUACCGGUGGCGAAGGCGGCAUCCUGGACCGGCAUUGACGCUGAGGAGCGAAAGCUAGGGGAGCAAAGCGGGAUAGAA